UCCCUAGUUCUUCUAGUCUACUUCCAUUGAACGGGUCAACAUCAGUUUUGUCCGGUGGAUAAAGAUAGUAGGAAUGUAGCUCCCCCGGGAGUGUUAUAGACUAUUAUUGCAUACACUGGGUGAGACUGAGGACUGCAGCUCGCCUUUUGGCCGGUCUUCGGACACGUUCGAGCUUAGGAUGUUGACAUAAUGGCUUUAAACGACCCGUCUUGAAACACGGACCAAGGAGUCA
rnacentral:rRNA from 1 species